UUGGUUCGGUUUUUCGGUUUAAACUGAAAAAUGCUCUCCCCUGCUUAAUCCUCUCGCAACCCUCAUCCUACUUACAAUUUUGAGCUGUCAUAUCAUUUAUCACCUUUCUACUACACUUUCAUUUCCAAUUUAUCUACUAUUCAAAUACUUAAGACCAUAGCAAAAGCAAUGUCCCACCAUGGUUGGCGCAAGGCUAUGCUUGAGGGAAUGAUUACUCUGCAUGUUAAUGAUACUUGAGAAAUAGUUCCACCCACUACCAAAAGGUAAAACUAUAAUUGGUUGUCACUAUGUGCUUGCAAUUAAGGUAGGUCUUGAUGUAAAGAUAGACUCAAAACAUGCCAUGCUGUAGAAGGGUAUACUUAAGUAUGUGCCUUUUAUUAUGGUGAUGCUUGAGGGAAUGAUUGCUCUUCAUGCUAAUGAUACUUAAGAAAUAGUUCCAAUACCAAAAGGCAAAACUAUAAUUGGCUGUCACUAAGAGUAUAAAAUUAAGGUAGGUCUUGAUGUAAAGAUAGA
rnacentral:misc_RNA from 1 species